rnacentral:rRNA from 1 species
GUUACUGCUAUCGAGGUUCGACUAAGCCUGCGAGUCGAAUGUAGCAAUACAUGGCGUACUGCUCAGUAACACGUGGACAACCUACCCUCCGGACGGGUAUAAACCCGGGAAACUGGGUAUAAUCCCCGAUAGAUCUCGGUCGCUGGAAAGCCCCGAGAUCGAAAGCUCCGGCGCCAGAGGAUGGGUCUGCGGCCUAUCAGGUAGUAGUGGGUGUAGCGUACCUACUAGCCUACGACGGGUACGGGUUGUGAGAGCAAGAGCCCGAAGAUGGAUUCUGAGACACGAAUCCAGGCCCUACGGGGUGCAGCAGGCGCGAAAACUUUACAAUGCCGGCAACGGCGAUAAGGGGACCUCGAGUGCCAGGUUACAAAUCUGGCUGUCGUGAUGCCUAAAAAGCAUUGCAUAGCAAGGGCCGGGCAAGACCGGUGCCAGCCGCCGCGGUAACACCGGCGGCUCGAGUGGUAACCGUUAUUAUUGGGUCUAAAGGGUCUGUAGCCGGCCGG